rnacentral:misc_RNA from 1 species
GAAAUGCGAUAAGUAAUGUGAAUUGCAGAAUUCAGUGAAUCAUCGAAUCUUUGAACGCACCUUGCGCUCCUUGGUAUUCCUUGGAGCAUGCCUGUUUGAGUAUCAUGAAAUCUUCAAGGUAAAUCUUUUGUUAACUCAAUUGGUUUCUACUUUGGUAUUGGAGGUCUUUGCAGCUUCACACCCGCUCCUCUUUGUUCAUUAGCUGGAUCUCAGUGUUAUGCUUGGUUCCACUCGGCGUGAUAAGUUAUCUAUCGCUGAGGACACUGUAAAAGGUGGCCAAGGUAAAUGCAGAUGAACCGCUUCUAAUAGUCCAUUGACUUGGACAAUACUUUUAUGAUCUGAUCUCAAAUCAGGUAGGACUACCCGCUGAACUUAAGC